rnacentral:lncRNA from 1 species
UAUGUUUCAAUUGUAUAAUGAAUUGAACCCCAAUUUAAACCAAUUAUCCAGCCCAAAUCCUAACCAUACCCGACCCACGACCCAAUUAGAAGAAUCCGCUUGGACCCCCCACCUACCCAUUUAAUCUUGGUCGUCGAUUAAAAUGAUCAACGGCCACCAAACCCUCUUUCCUAAAUUAAUUCCCAACUACCCCCAAACCCUAACCAUUUCUCAUCUACGGCCGUCUUUGAAUCCCCUUCUCUCUCAAUCGUCUCUCAAUCCUCUAAAACUCUAGUCGCCGCCAUCAAACUACAAUCUUAAAAUCUCAUAAGUCAAUCGCUUCCAAGGCCAUCGGAGGCUAGUAUCCACCUCAUAUAGCUUCUACAUGCCCGAUUAUCAUGGUUUCAAAGCUAGAUCUUGGGAAAUUUUGGUCCAGAUCUUGGUUAUUUUCAGUUCUAUGGCUGUCUCCGGUAAUCUUUGACCUUGCUCCGGCCAGCCAUGGCUAUUCAAUCCUGACUCUUGACUUCUCCUGCUUAGAUCGAUGAUUUUCCAAGUCUUUCUCACCAUUUGAGGUUCUCCUGAAACUCGAACCUUUAAGGUUUUUCCAAUUUGUUUUAGAUCUAUUUAAGAUUCGUUUUUACUCUAAACUUUUAAACAUUUUCUCAAGUUUUCUUUCAAAACUCUAACUUCAAGAACCCUUAUCUUUUCUGAUUUGGAUUUCUGUUAAGUUAUUUCAAAGCUUUCUCCGAUUUUUAACAUGUUCUACUGUGUUUCCUUAUGUCGUUCUUCUACCUGAGUUUGCAUGCUAAGGGCCUUAACCUUUUUUAAGAUUUCUGUAUCUAUUUUGUUAGUAUUUGUCUGAUUUACUUGUUUUUCAUCUCUAAAGCUUGAUUGAUGGGGAAACCCCUAAAUUUUGGAUUCAUUCGAGUUCUGAGACUAUUUGCUGUGUGAUUUACUUGUCCAUAAUAUCUAAAUUUGAUUUGUUUAAAAACCCUAAUUUCUUUGGAUCUAUUCGAGCUUCUGAAAUUGCUUCAUCUGUUGCUCGACUGGAUUUUAAAUCUUUUGUUUCAACAUCCGCUUCUUUAUGUGAUUUUGAUUUCCUGCCAUCAUUGAAACUCGACUAUAUUUUUCAGGAAGAUCUUUUACUUGGCCUUUUGCAUGAUUCUAUAUUCUUUCUUUUCUCUUUUACAUAUUUGGUGAAGUUGACCUAUGUGACUACCAUGUUUCGAUAGUUCACUAUCUACUGAUUUUAUGAUUGUUAUUGUAUGAUGCUUCUCUUUGUCAUAAGUUCAUCAUCGCAUACCUAAUAUUUAUGCACUCUUUUAUAUGCUAAAGUUCCUUCUAAAAUGGCCUUCAAUUGUGGACUGAUUUCCAGCCAUUCCUUGUGUAAUUCUAAUUGCACUCGUGUGUUAAGUAAUUGAUUCUUUUCUUGCUUACUGAUUUUCCUGUUUCUUGGAUUGGUUUGAAAACUUCCCUUUAGAUUUCGAUUCUCCUGUUAUUAACUUGGUUUAUUUGUUUAUUCAUGGGAACCCAUGUUAUCCUCCCCAAAUCAAUAAUUUUGAAUCCCUGACCCUUGAUUUACUAUGUGUUGAUUGUCUCCAUAUUCGGCAAAUUAUUGUGUUUCUUACCUUAUUUGGUUAACCGAGUAUUUCAAAAAUUCUUCAUUAUCUAUUCCCUUAAUUAAACCUCGAUGUACUUACCCCUAAUUGUCUGUUCUGCACAUGAUGCUCUACAUGAUUUCUUUCCUUAAAUGUUUUCUGCCCAUUACCGUUUACAUUUAACUCCUUAAUUAAACGAAGUCCUCAGUACUGAUUUGAUAUAAUUAGUACAUAGUUCCAUAAUUACUACUAAACUAUGAUUCUUGCCUUAUUUUCUGCCUAUUUCAAACUAUAAAUACCUUGCUCUUUCAUUAACACAUACGAACACUCUUAGUUCUAAAAAUUACUUACACUCAAAAAUAUUCUCUCUUGCUUUACUACUUGUACUGUUGCCUGUCUUUAAAAUCCUGCUACCCGCCUUUACUAUAUUUUGCUUCUUUGAACUAAUAUGUUCUGAUUAAGAUUUUAGCAUCAAAACAAUAUGUUUACUUAAUGUUUUUUUUUUGCAUUCUUAUCUACCUACUGCUUGUAUCUAAUUUAGUACUUUCAUUUAGCAUGCUGUGAGUUGUUUCUCCUGUCCUGAGUCAAUGUAUUCUGAAUCCCAAACCCUUUAACCCGAUGUUUCAUACUUAUUGUUUGUUUGAGGCAUGUCAUUAUUGAACAUUGUUGUCCAUAACUCAAACUUGAUCCCCCCCGGGAUCAUAACCUCUAUGCUUUCUGUGAUUUUGUGUGUUUUGGUGGGGUUAUAGUCAUUCCGGCAUCUUCUAUUGAUGUGCAUGCUCAAAGCUGACCAUUUGCCUAAGUACGUGAGCUCUCUGCAAUAAUUUCCCAACCCCUGAACCCCUUUUGUGUGCAGUUAUCAACUCUGUAACUAUUUCCCAGCAGCCCUUUGCCUCUUCUUUACUUCCUUGAGUUCUUAAAGUUCUGUUUCUGAACUUCCACUCUCUCUUAGACUUAAGUUUUGCCCCCUAUUGUGAUCCUUACCUUGGGACCAUUGAUCUCCCUCUGAACUAGGACACCUGAGGGCUUGAACUUCCAUAUUGCACUUGUCCCUAUUCUGGUUAUGAAAAUUGGGUGUGAGUACUGCCCCUGGUCUUAUUAAGGCCCUUAGGGAACUCUGAUACACUCAAAUCUGAAGAAAGGAUAUGGAUUAAUGGUCUUUGAGUUGGUUUAUCUCAUAACUCAAGGAGGAAGUCAAGAAUCAGGCUUCCUAUGGUUGUACUUUUCUUUGUAGAUUUUUUCUUUGAUGUUAUUUUUUAUUCUAGUUUGUAAUAAGUCGUAAUAAACCUUUGGGGUUGGCUAGUCAAUCUGCAAUAUGUGUUUAAGGAGUGAUUACCAGAUAUUAUGUGGGGUGAUCACAUAUUGCAUAUUGACCACGUGAUAAUGUCACGUCUAGCCAUUCAUUAAGGAGUGAUUACCAUAUAUUAUGUGGGGUAAUCCAUAUUUUUAAUAAACAUAGGACCCCCUUCCUUUGUUCUUCAUUUCUUUUCUUUUAGCACUUUAAGUCCUUAUUUAAAAUCAACUUUCCUAAUUGUUCUUUCAAACUUCGCUUACUUUCAAACCAUUAUGUGUUGAAAUCCCCUCUUAGUUUAGCCUUAUCUGCCUAUAUGUUAAUUGCACGUCAAUUCACAAUAAUUUUCUGGCCGGGAACUUCAAGGGGUGCCUAACAAUUUCCCCUUAGGAUAGCUUCAAGUCCGUACCCUAUCUCUGGUUAUUUAAAUAUGUCACGGCCUGAAAGUCCCACCUCCAGGAGUCGUGAUGACGCCUACUCGUAGAAGCUACGCAAGACAUGAACUUUGAAACCGUUAAAUCUCUCAUUUUAAUUCAGUUUCACCUAUUAAGAGCAUUUAAAUGAAAACAGAAAUAAAAUUUAGCGAAAGUCAUAAAUAAAGAUGAAACCAGCAUAUCCAGGAAACCAUUACAUGUCUCUACCCAGAACCCUGUGUCACAAUAUCCAUGGACUACAAAGAAUACUACAUACAAUAAUUUGAAGAAAAAAUAACACAAUUUAUCUCGAAUAUAUGAGAUAACAGAAUAUAAAAUAAGAUAGAGGAGACGUCGGGCCAACGGAUGCCUGCAAGGCUACCUCGAUGUCUUGGUGGACUGAAGGCUAGAUCCCGAGCUACUACUGCUGACCAUAGGAUGCUUCAGUUUCUUCACAUAAAAUCAGAGUGUAGCAUCAGCACAACCGACUCCAUGUGCUGGUAAGUGUCUGGCCUAACCCCGGCGAGAUAGUGACGAGACUAGGACCAGACUCCAGAUAAACCUGUGCAAUAUAUAUAUAUAACAAACAAUUAAAGCUGAGGAAGGAAACAUGCUUCGGCGGUAGCAUAUAAAUCAGAAUAUCAAAGAAUAAUAAGGAUACUACAAUUUAACUUCUAACACGGAUAAAGAGAAAUAAAGUCAACUUUUACUUUCAGUUUUAUCUUGUUGAAGGCGUGCAACCCGAUCCCAUUUCUCAUAUCUUGUUGUAGACGUACCACCCCCUUCCAUCUCAUUAUAUCUUGUGGUAGGUGUACCACCCGCUCCUAUUUUAUUAACUCUCGUGAUAGACGUACCACCCGCCCCCAUUUCAUCAAUCUUGUGUUAGGCAUACCACCCGCUCCCAUUUUAUCAUAUCUUGUGGUAGGCGUACCACCCGUUCCCAUUUCAUUAUAUCUUAUGGUAGGCAUACCACUCGCUCCCAUUUUCUCAUGUCUUGUGGUAGGUGUACCACCCACUCCCAUUUUUUCAUAUCCUGUGGUAGGCAUAACACCGGCUCCCAUUUAUAAUUCAUCACAAAAUUACAAGAAAUCAUGGCAAGGGAACAAAAGCAAUAUAAUAACUUCCCAGCAUGGGAACAACAACAUCAAAAUAGUCAUCCCGGUAAGGAAGAAUCAGACCAAUCCUAUCUCAACUUUUACCCAGCUCAAUUAAUGACUGUCGAUGCCCCCUUUUUCUCUCGCGAGGCAAAAAAAUCGGGUUUAUGACAUUAUGGGUGGAAUAACUCUUUUAUCCCCUCUUUGGGGAAUUUGGGCUAUGGAGUUUGAAGAGUCACCACCUAAUGAUUAUAGUGCAUUAGGACACUUUUUUGGGAAAAGAAGAAGGAUUCAAAGGAAAACCAGAGUUUGGGUAAGGGCUUGAGAUUAUCUCGAGGGGAAGGUGUUAGGCACCCCUCAAGAUCCACUAGUGNNNNNNNNNNNNNNNNNNNNNNNNNNNNNNNNNNNNNNNNNNNNNNNNNNNNNNNNNNNNNNNNNNNNNNNNNNUAAAAGAAGAAGGAUUUGAAAGAAAACCAGAGUUUGGGUAAGGGCUUGAGAUUAUCUCAAGGGGAAGAUGUUAGGCACCCCUCAAGAUCCACUAGUGUGGUUCCUGGCCUUGCUUAGAUGUGACAUUAAGGAUAAUAGAAAUAGAUACGCAAAGUUUGCACAUAAGAAAUGCAAGAAAGUUGACAAUUUUGAAAGAAGGAUGUCACAAGUGAAAGGGAAUUUUCAAGAAAACAUUUAAAUAAAGGAAAAUUAAAGAGGGCCCUAGGUUUAACUAUACUAUAGAUUAUUCGAUGCAAUAUCCCGCACAUGUUCCCAAAGAGGGGUCGCCUUAUGAUAUUAGCGCAUCGUCAUCAUCUCCAUAUUCUACCAUUCCCAUCUUGUUAAGGUAUUUAAGCGUGUUUAGUCUCGUUUACUUAUUGCAUUCUAGUACACGUCCCAACCUAUCAGUCCCGGGGUAUAUGGACUUCUAAUCCUAGAAGGGAAGAAAGGGGAUGAGGGCAUAUAUGGAGUUUAAAGGUAAAAAUGCUAAGGUGUCAAUAAAAAACAAAUAGCACAUAAGGGGGAUAACCAGAAAUACAAAGGAUGCACAUAAACCCCCUUAAGCCAUACAACAAUUAGUUUAGCAUGACUUGCAAUUACUGAUUUGGUCUUAAGAUUAAAAGCGAAAGUGGACAGAUUAGUUUAACACAAAGAGUUUGAUAAUAAAUCUACUUUGGGCCCCUCGGGUCCGGUUUGUUAGAAAUUAAAAUACUUUAGGCGAGUGAUUUAGAAAAUACUGGUUUUAGAUAAGGUACUCAGACGCAGAAGAGCUAUAAAGGAAAGUAGAGAUUGCAGUAAGUUUAUCAGCAGAUUUUGGAAGCAUCAGACUGUUUGAGUAAAAAAUGCAGACGAGUUAUACAUGAGUUUCGAAGGUAGGAGUAUUUUGAGAAAAAAGUUGGUUGCAGGAAUGUUUUAAAGGGAGUUUCAUAUACUGAUUAAAAUGCUUAGGCGAAAAUAUUUUUUUUAAAAAGACUGUUCAUGGAAAAGAAUACAAAUUUGUAGAGUUUGAAAGCACACAUGGUUUACAAAAAGAUUUGUUGACAAACAUUAAUUAAAAAAAUUGUUAAGAACCAAUUCACCUGAUGUUUCUUAAACGGAUUAGGUGAGUUGCAAUUAAUCCUACAGGCAUGAAAUCUACGUUUCGAUUUUUAAAAGGGUUCUUAAUGUAUUGAUAAAAGAUGAAUGUAAUUAUCCUACAGUUUGCCUAACGUAUAUGCAAGUCCUAUAGACAUGAUCUCUAUUAUGCUUGCAAUACAAAAUCCUAUAGGCAUGAUUCUGAAUGAUAUACAAUAGUAAGGUCCUAUAGGCAUGGUUUCUAAGUGAUUUGCAAUAUUAAGGUCCUACAGGCAUGAUUUCUAGAUGAUUUGCAAUAUUGAAAUCCUAUAGGCAUGAUUUCUACACAUGGACUGAUAAAAAAACAUAAACCCCUCCCAUGCCCUUUUACUAUGUCCCCCAAAUUCUUUUACAAAGUUACUACAAAAAUGGAAGGGAAAUAAAUACAUCAAAACUAAAAAAUGGACCCGAGGAAGCCCAAAGCAACCUUAAUGUCCAACAUAUGUAUUUUACCAAAUCCGGGCUCCAGAUUCCAAGGCCUUCACUUAGAGUGUUGUCAAAGUUCCAAGGGCUUUAUGAAGCCCAGGAAAUGCUUACACACUAAAGAUUGAAUUGAGUAGUGCGAUGUGUGGAAUUAUCAGCCCUUAGGCAUCCAAAUUCAGAGGGAACUCUAGGGUCCCUAAGCAUGGCUUACCAUGGGAGGUAGGACUUAAAGGACUAGGAAUAAGUGUAAAGUGAGGGGAUUAGAGGAGACGAAGGCAAAGGAUGGUCAUACCUAGUCAUGAAUGGGACUGGCACACCCCUAAUACUUUACUUAAUUCAAGCAAUUAAAAGAGCAUACUUUCAGAAGUCAGACAUGGGUCUGACUGGUGAUUGGGACACUACCAAACCCUACUCCAGGCUCAACACAUAAAAGGAGUUAAGGGAAUAGAAUUGAUUUGAGUGGAGGUUCAAAGAACCUGAUCCUAUAUGAAGGAUAGAAAUGAGAUGCUACCUUAACUUGGGACAUACUCACAUAUAAGGGGCAUUAAAGGGAAAUAGGAUCAUGUAGAAGCGAGAAAUAAACACAUAGUUUUAGAGAAUAAUAUUUAAAUGGCGGAGACCUACCAGUUGCAAGUGUCAAACACCAGAUAGUUUAGCCUUGGCUUUCAGCUGGCUAAACAGAAGCAGCAGCACAAGUAGUAGAAAAGAAAAGAGAGAGUUUAGUGUGUGUGUUGAACUGAAUUGUUCGUGGGUUUUGAAGAAGAGAAAUAUGGGUAUUUAUAGUUUUUGAAAACAUGUAGUAAGUAAGGUAGAAAAUAAUUUCAGUUCCAAAUUACAAUCAAUUAGGAGAAAGGACUUCCUUUAAUUAAGGAGUUGGAUUUAGUAAUAAAAACAGAGUUCUAUUUAUGGAUAGACAAUCAAGAACCCUUUGUAAAAUAAAGGGUAAAUACAUAGGAAGUUUUGAAAAUACACGGCUUUAAGCAAAUAAGGCAAGAAUGAAAUAAGUAAUCACAUAGUAAAUCAAGGAAUCAGGGAUUCGAACUCAGUAUUGAAUUCAGUCAGAAUAUAGGUCCAAAUUAGUCAAGGACAGAAUCAAAAAUAAAUUCAUAGGAAAUCAACCCCCAAAAUUAGGGUUAUUUUGAUAGGGGAAGUCUGACUAUAAAAAGAUACACAAACUUAAAAAUGCGAGGCUAAAUUAAACUGAGUAGCCAUGUAAUGAAAGAGCAGAAGAACAUAGCCAUGAAUGAAACUAGAAGUUCUUGCAAAGCUUAGUAAGAAUUAGAAGCAUGAGGCGGGUUUAAAUAGUUAGGAUUUUGAGAUUAAACAGGCAGAAGAAAAUCACACACAAAAUAAAAAACACCCAAUAUCUAGGGUUUUUGUCAUUUUUCGAGUGUAAAGAAGAAAGCAUAGGUGAAGAUGAACUCAGAAAGAAUAUAAACAUUGACGAAAAGCAUAAGGAAAGCAAAGAACACAGUAAAGAAGCAACUCGAAAACCCUAGAAACAACACGGUAAAAAAAUACAUAGGAAUCAUAGUAGAAAUACAUAGUAAUUACAGCAAAAGUAAAAGAAAUCACAAUAGAGCAAAAAAAAUAGAAAAUCGGAGAAACCCUAAGUUUUAAGAAGAUGAACAUUUCGAAAACAAAAUCGGCAAAAAAAUAUGGAAAACACUUUGAAAUCUUAGAAAAUAACAUAGAUCUGAAGUAGAUCUUAAAGAGAAACAAAUAAGAAAAAACUCGGAUACUUAGGGUUUCAGAGAAAACUCUAGAGAAUGAGAAAGGCCAUGGAAAGGGAUGGUCCAAAGUAGGAGGUGGACCCACAUCCUAGGACUUGCCGGAAAUGGGCCAGAAAUGGCCAUAAAAACUCAAAUCGGAGGACCUAUGAACCAUGGAUCUUCAAGGUUAGGCCUUGGAUCAUUGAGUAAAGAGAGGAUAAGGGUGAGUGGGGGUGGAUAUGGGUUACACAGGGCUUAGGAAGCCAUGGUUUCCGAUGAAACAAGGUCGGAAAUUGGUCGGAGAAGGCUAGGGUUUCAGAGGGUGGUUGAGAGCAUUUGGGAGGCAAAGGGGGGUUCAAAGGCAGCUGCUGAAGAGAGAAUGAAGGGGAUUAGGGUUUGGGUUUGGUUUAAUUUUGGAAGGGGAAAUGCGGACCAUUGAUUAAAACAAUCAAUGGUUCUGAUUUAAAGAUGGGGCUCUGGGCGGGUUAGUUAAUAGGGUAUGGGUCAGGUAAUUUAUGAAAUUGGUUAGUGUAAUUGGGGGUUAGAUUGGGGCUGAAAUUAGGGCUAAAAUCGGAAUUAACAGGACUACAAUUUAAAUAGCCAAUUUUUUCCAUUUUGAUUAUAUAAAAUAGUAAAUAAUGUUCAAAAAUCAAAUAAAAAAUAUUGAGUUAAUGAUCAAUGCAGAGUACUAAUUUAAAAAUAUUAGAAAUAAUUUUGUGAUUACAAAUGCUAUUAAAUCGAGCAAUAGGCUAAAAUUGCAAUUUCAUGCAAUUUUAGUUUAAAAAUACCAAAUGAGCUUGUAAAAUUAUGUAAAAAUCCUAUAAAUUAUAUAUUUGUGUAAAUAUGAGAAUAAAAUAAAUUAUUCACAAAAAUUAAAAGUUUUGAGAAUAAUUAUUGGUUUUUAUAGUGCAAAAUAGGCUGGUUUAAAAAUCUUUAAAAAUUGGGGAAAAAAAUACCGAAAGCUUUGUGGAUGCUUAUAUAUGAUAUUUUGGAAGUAUUUUGAGUAUUAAAAUACAGAGGAAAAAAUUGGUAUCAACAGCUGCCCCUAUUUACCCGAGGAGGAUGAAAGAGUUGUCGGGUAAAGAUAAGAUGGCCAAUUUUGACCGGAGACGGCGAUUGUAAAAGAAUAUUGACCGCGCUCUGGUCUCCAAGCUGCCUACAUAUCCCUGGGUUUAGAGGAAUCAGUCCGUAUGUAGUUCAAGAACCAUUGAUGGAACAUGCCGAUGGGAAUUCGGAAAAAAUGGACGCGAUGGUUAGAUCAUGGAGGGCGCUUGGAAUCGGAAAAACUGUGGAGAAAUGGAGAAGGAUCGCCCGUGCUGAGAUGGCUGUGACCAUCCAAAGUACCUGCAAAUGGGUGAUGUGCGUAUAUAUUGCGUAAUUUAAACUUGAUGCAAAUUUCCGUUGGACCAUGAAUAUUUGUCUUCGGACGUUUAGGAUGAUAUCCUCAGACUAUGAUGUCCUGCGCCAAGAAAAGCAUAAAAGUAAGGGUACGUAGGCCAUGAAAUGAUGUUCUUGGGCUAUGCAGAUGGUGCCUUUGCACUAUGGCGCCUUUGAACGAGUUGACGAUCUUUCAGCCCAUGAGAAGGUGACAAUCUUUCAGCCGAAUGACAAUUAAAAUGCAGGUGGCGAUGUUUGAGCCACUCAAAAAAUAAAGAGGCAAUAUUUCAGCCAUGCAAGACGGAGACAAUACCUAGUCUAGAAAGGUGGAUAAUAGCCUUAUGCAAUACGAAGGUAGAGCAUAACCUCGGAAGGCAGAGAGUAGCCUUAUGCAAAAAUGUAGAUGGAGACAGAGCUUAGUCUCGGAAGGAAGAGAAUAGCCUUAUGCAAUAUGGAGGUAGAGCCUUAACCUCGAAAGGCAGAGAAUAGCCUUAUGCAAGAAUGCAAAUGGAGACAGAUCUUAGUCUCGAAAGGUAGAGAAUAGCCUUAUGCAAUUUGGAAGUAGAGCUUAACCUCGAAAGGCAGAGAAUAGCCUUAUACAAAAAUGCAGAUGGAGACAGUGCUUAGUCUUAGAAGGCAGAAAAUAGCCUUAUGCAAAAAUGCAGAUGGAGACAUGGCUUAGUCUUAAAGGCAUAUGAUAGCCUUAUGUAGGAUGGAGAUAGGUCUUAACCUCGAUAGGCAGAGAAUAGCCUUAUGCAAAAAUGCAUAUGGAGACAGAGCUUAGUCUCAAAAGGCAGAUGAUAGCCUUAUGCAGGAUAGAGGUAGAGUUUAACCUCGGAAGGCAGAGAGUAGCCUUAUGCAAUGAAGGAAUGUAAAAGAGCGAAUAGUAGUAGGUUUUCUUAGCUAAUAGACGGUUGGCAAGAUUAGGACUACUGGGGAGUGCAGAUAAUGACCCUAUGAGGGUUUUGAUCCUGAAAAGCGAAUGUGCUUUGAUCCGUAACAUCAGUUCCUGCAACCAAAGAAAAAACGUGAAUUCUGUAAGGGGGAGGUUAGUUCGUAUCCUCCAUUUCUUAACACCGUGUAUCACGGGGGUAGCGUUUCUAAAUGUUGGUGGUGCAACUGAUAUUUAUUCAUGACUUAGUAAAUAUAAUGCAAGUAUGUAUAAAUAAAAAAUGAUUUUAUUUUGGAUGAACCGACGACUACAACAACGUGGUUCAAGACACGCCAAUCUCGCUUAUUCCGGAAUUUUGAGGAUCCUCCUCAAAAUUCUGCCCGAGUUUACUGGGCUGGCACUGUUGAAGGCUGUGCUGGAUGACUGAACACGGAACGAUCCCAGAAUUUUGAGGGCUCUCCUUAAAAUUCUCCCCCAGUUCAUUGUGUUGGUGUUAAUGAGAAUACUGAAAACCCUAUUUCGGAAUUUUGAGGGUCCUCCUCAAAAGUCUUCCCCAGUUCCAAUUACAGGGGGAAAAUGGAAUUUUUAUUAAAAUGUGACCUAACCCAUAGGGCUACCUACGUAUCCCUUCUUAAACGAGAAUUAGGUCAGGCAUCGUUAUAAUUACAUCAUGAAAGAAAAGCAUAUGAUCAAAUGUAGUAUCUUUUCACUACUUCUGAGUUGAUAGGCUUCGGCCAGACUUCUCCGUCCAUUUCUGGGAGAAUAAGGGCUCCUCCAGUUAGAACCCAAUGGACCAUGUACAGACCCUACCAAUUGAGAAAGAAUUUCAUGUUGAUGAGGAAAUAUUUUCUUUAGUACCAACUGUCCUGGCGCGAACUUCCUCGGCUUGACUCUCUUGUUGAAGGCUUUGGACAUUCUGUUCUGAUAUACUUGACCGUGACAGACAACAUUCAUUCUCUUUCCGUCUAUGAGGGCUAUUUUCUCGUAGAGAUUCUUAACCCAUUCCGCAUCAUCUAAUUAUGCUUAUUGUAUGAUCCUUAAGGAAGGGAUUUCUACCUCGGCGGGAAUGAAUGCCUCUGUACCAUAAACCAGCAUAUGGGGAGUGGCCCCAGUUGAUGUACGGACCGUGGUACGAUAACCAAGUUAGGUGAACGAUAACUUCUCAUGCCACGGUUUGUUCUUUUCGAUCAUCUUCCUUAGUAUCUUCUUGAUGUUCUUAUUAGCUGCUUCUACAUCUCCAUUCAUUUGAGGUCUAUAAGCCGUAGAGUUCUUAUGUUUAAUCUUGAAUGUUUCGCACAUUUCCUUCAUUAGGUCGCUGUUGAGAUUAGAACCAUUGUCGGUGAUGAUUGAUUCCGGAACCCCGAACCGACAAACCAUACGAUCUCGGAUGAAAUCCGCUACUACUUUCUUGGUGACUGCCUUGUAUGAUGCUGCUUUAACCUAUUUGGUAAAGUAAUCAAUUGCCACUAGGAUGAACCUAUGCCCAUUUGACUUGGCUGGUUCAAUUGGUCCAAUGACAUCCAUUCCCCAAGCAGUAAAUGGCCAUGGUGAUCUUGUCGCAUUAAGCUCAUUUUGAGGCACCUUUAUGAUAUCUGCAUGUAUUUGACAAUGGUGGCAUUUACGGACUUACUAGAUACAGUCUUUUUCCAUAGUCAUCUAAAAAUAUCUUACUCGGAGUAUCUUCUUUGCCAAAACAAAACCAUUCAUAUGCGGACCACGGGUCCCUGCGUGCAGUUCCUCCAAUAGUCUAGUUGCUGCUUUCACUUCGACACAUCUUAAUAAUCCCAAAUAAGGAGUCCUCCAAUAUCGGAUUCCUCCACUGUGAAAGAAGUUGUUGGACAAUCUCCGAAGUGUUCAUUUCUGAGUACCAUUGGCAAGCUCUGGGUUCCUAUUGUCAAGUAUUCUCUGAUAUCAUGGAACCAAGGUUUCUGGUCGGAAUCUUCUUCGACGUGAGCACAAUAAGCUUGUUGGUCGUAAAUCUUGACCUAGAUUGGAUGAAUAAAGUGUGUAUCUGGAUGCUGGAUCAUAGAUGAUAAAGUGGCUAAGGCAUCGGCGAACUCAUUCUGUAUUCUGGGAACGUGCUGGAAUUCCGUCUUUCUGAAUCUUUUCCUCAACUCCUGUAUAUGGUGUAGGUAUGGGAGUACCUUGGAAUUCUUGGUUGCCCAUUCUUCUCGAACCUGAUGUAUAAGUAGGUCCGAGUCUCCGAUCACUAAUAGUUCCUGAAUGUUCAUGUCAACGUCCAGUUUGAGCCCUAAGAUGCAGGCUUCGUACUCGCCCAUAUUGUCGGUGCACGGGAAUCCGAGCUUGGAGGAUAUUGGGUGAUGCUGACUAGUUUCUGAUACCAAACUGCUCAUAUACCGACUCCUUUGAAGUUUGUGGCUUCGUCGAAAAACAUCAUCAAACUAUCAUAGGAUUCUGCAAUUUCUUCUCCUAUGAAGGCUAUCUCUUCAUCAUGAAAAUAUGUCUUUAGUGGUUCGUAUUCUCCUCCUAUAGGAUUUUCGGCGAGGUGAUCUGCCAAGGCUUGUCCUUUGACCGCCUUCUGGGUAACAUAAAAGAUGUCAAAUUCACUUAACAGUAUCUGCCACUUGGCGAGCCUGCCUGUAGGCAUGGGAUUCUGAAGGAUAUGCAUUAAUGAGUCCAUCCUGGAUAUGAGAUUAGUGGUGUAAGCGCAGAAAUAGUGCCUUAAUUUCUGAGCUACCCAGGUUAAAGCGCAACAAGUGUUCUCUAAUAAGGAAUACCGAGCCUCAUACAGGGUAAAAUUCUUGUUGAGGUAGUAGAUGGCCUGCUCCUUCCUUCCUAUUUCAUUAUGUUGUCCCAAAAUACAACCAAAUGCCCAUCCAAUACUGCAAGAUAAAGCAAUAGAGGUCUCCCUGGCUCGGGUGGAACCAGGACUGGCGGCGUAGACAAGUAUUCCUUGAUUUUGUUGAAGGCAUUUUGACAAUCAUCAGUCCAUUUAGUGGGGGCAUCCUUAUUUAGAAUCUUGAAGAUGGGUUCACAAAUGACGGUGGACUGAGCUAUGAAUCGGUUGAUAUAGUUGAGCCUCCCUAAAAAACUCAUUACAUCUUUCUUGUUCUUUGGCAGUGGCAACUCUUGAAUGUCUUUGAUCUUUGACGGGUCCAACUCUAUACCCCGGUGACACACAAUGAAACCCAAUAACUUUCCUCCUGGGACCCCUAAUGCACACUUGUAGGGUUUCGGUUUCAGGUUGUAUCUCCUCAGUUUGUUGAAAAUUUUUAUCAAAUCUCCCAUGUGAUCUGCAACUUUUGUGGAUUUGAUGGUGACGUCGUCCACAUAUACCUCAAUCUCUUUGUGUAUCAUAUCAUGAAAGAUUGUGGUCAUGGCCCUCAUUUAGGUAGCACCGGCAUUCUUCAAACCGAAUGGCGUCAUUCUGUAACAGUAUAUUCCCCGCUGCGUGAUGGAUGUCAUUUCUCUGCAUCCUCUUCGUCUAUCCAUAUCUGAUGGUAUCCAGCAAAACAAUCUACGAACGACUACAACUCAUGUUUGGUGCAAUUGUCAAUCAGUAUGUGUAUAUUUGGCAAAGGGAAGCCAUCUUUUGUACUGGCCCGAUUGAGAUCCCGGUAGUCGACAUAGACCCUAACCUUCCUAUCCUUCUUUGACACUGGCACAAUGUUGGCUAACCAUGUUGGAUACUCUACUACUCUGAGAAUCCUAGCUUUGACUUCCUUGGUGACUUCUUCUUCGAUUUUCAAACUCAUGGCUUGUUUGAACUUUUUGAGUUUCUGUUUGACCGAUGGGAAUGCAGAAUCUGCCGACAGUUUGUGAGCCAUAAUGAAUGUGCUGAGACUGGUCAUAUCAUCAUACGACCAGGCGAAUAUAUCCUCAUAUUCUUUCAAAAACUCUGUGUUUUUUUCCUUUUCUGAUGGUGACAAGUGUACGCUGAUGCAUGUUUCCUUGACAUUUUCUGCGUCUCCCAAAUUAACAACCUCAGUUUCGUCAAAGUUAGACUUAGUCCUGUUCUCAAAAUUCUUGACCUCCCUGACAACCUCGUCUAGUAUUUCCUCCUCUUCUGAAUCUAUGUCUAUUUGUCACAUUGUCUCGUUGCAAGUUAUAGUCAUCGGUUCAUCAUCAAGAUAUGUAAUAGUAAUGCUGUGUAAAAUAAAGUAAAUGGUAGAGAAAAUAAAUAAGAGCGAAAUAUAAAGAUAAAUUUGAAAAUGCUUUUAAUUAAAUUCAUAAUUGUCUGAAACAUCGAAGCUCUUUUCAAAAGUAAAGACAAUGCUUAAAAGUAAAAUCAACUAGAAUUAAAGUGCGAUGCAUAUGCGUCGUUUAGCCUUGCUACCCCAAGGAUCUCCGGGCACUGGUGGUUCUGAUUGACCAAUUGGUGUGGUGUUUUCCCUGGUUUAAAACUUGAAUGGAAGGGCCUCCCUCCCCUUCCUCCUCGAAGAUAACACAACAAUCUAUAUCAUCCUCUAGAAACAGGUUCUUCAAUGGUGCCAGUGUCUCGUCUUCCUCUAAUCCAUACAUGACAUCAGCCGGCUGAAAUUUAUGCUCUAACUGCGAUAGAGGGUGCUCCAGUGGGUAGUAGGGACCGCGCCAUGGUGGCGACCAGUGAUUGAACUCCUCCCAAGUGUAUGCAUAACCCACGCCGAAAGUGGUUUCAUGCUUCUUCAACUAGGUAGGCUUGGUGAUAGCCUGGAGAUUCUUGCCAAGCCCAUUUUCGGGCUCGUAUACAUUCCAAUUUAAAAUGCUCUCAAUUAUGUUAUUGCACCACUUGUUUUUGUCUAUGGCGUUGACUCGCUCAAUGUGAUGGUAUGUUUCUCCAUCAAUUUUCCUUCUUCCUCUGAUCAUCGGGAUGGCCUGGCGACUAUAUACGGGGUUGCUUUCGUCACCAUAUAUGAUUACUUCCUGAUGAUUCCAUUCAAAUUUUACAGUCUGAUGCAAAGUUGACGCCAUAUCCCCAGCAGUAUGGAUCCAGGGUCGUCCAUGUAACAAAUUGGCAUGUUGGCACAUCAAUGACUUGGAACUCAACAUCAAACCAUGUGGGUCCCAUCUGCUAGCAUAAGUGACUUUCUCCAAUGGGGACCUCUGAGAUCCAUCAAAAGCUUUGACACUCAUAUCCUCGUCUUUGAUCUCGUGCAAUCCCUUGCCCAAUGUCCUGAGAGUUACCAAUGGACAAAUGUCGAGGCUGGAUCCCCCGUCGACUAGAAUCCUAGUGAUAAAGUGAUCCUCGCAUUACGGAGUGAUGUGCAACUCUUUGUUGUGACCAAGCCCUUCUGGUGGUAAUUCAUCUUCGUGGAAAGUGAUCUUAUGGUUUUCGAGUACCUGCCCUAUCAUGUUUGCAAUUUCGCCUCCUGUUAUGUUGCUGGGAACAUAAGUUUCACCCAAUAUUUUACUUAAGGCAUUUUAUUUGCCUCGGAGAUUUGUAGGAGAGCAAAAAUAGAAAUCUGUGCUGGUGUCUUGUUCAGUUGCAAGACGACCGAGUACUCUUUGACCUUUCUCCAUGGGUCAUCGGAUCCUGUUUCAACAGCCCGCCUGGAGGCCUGCUUGCUAGACUCAGCCAAAUGCUCUGGGUGUAUACCUUGCCUGUCUUGUUCAUGCCUUGUAUGGCAAUUGCUUCUCCGGUAUAUGUGUUUCCUUUCCUUCUAGCCUCAACGGUGUAAUCCCAAGGUAUAGCAUUUGUUUGGGACGGGGUCAUGUCUGUCAUGGAGACUGGAAUUGGUACCCUUGGAGGUAACACAGUAACUUCAAAUGGUGUAGGUGCCUUUGGAACCCCGAACUCGUCCUCAAUUGGUUUUGGCGCUUUUGCAGGUGGUGCUUUCAACUCUAGUAGUAUGGACACAUUUAAUAAAUUGCAUUCAGAGGGCUGAAUCUGGACAACAAUGGGAUUGAGAGUAAUUGUUGUCUUAUUAGGCUCGUCUGACUCAGCUGUUAGUUAGUACCCCCUUGGUUUCGGGGUGGACCUUUCACUCUAUUUUAUUAUAUACGCUUAGCGAAAAGCCUUCAGCUAUCAAUCUAAUUGACCCCUUGGGGUCCUAAUCAUCUCCGAUCUCGAUCAUAUGGAGGCCUCCACCCUUGUGGUCAGGCAGAGGGUUGUUGCAGACAUUAAGAGCGGGCUCCUUGGCUAUAAUGAUCUUGUUGUCAAUCAGAUUGUGAAUCUUUCCUUUCAAGGAGAGACACUCGUCGAUGGUAUGGACUUUCAUCCCAGAAUGGUAUGCGCAAGUCUUAUUUGGUUUGAUCCACUGGGAAGGGUUUACUGAAGUUACGGCUGGGAUAGGGGUAACUUUUAUGGCUGCCUUGAGAUUUUCAUACAAUUGGUCAAUUUUCUCGGCUAUGGCGUUAUAUUGUCUACGAGGUUUGCGGUCGAAGCUUGGUCUAGGCCGAGGAAAAUUUUGGCGGGCAGGCGGUGAUGGGUACUGAGAUGGUUGGGAGUUAUAUGCUUUGUAUACGGGUGCGGGUUGGGAAUAUCUAGGUGAAGUGGGUUGAUAUGCAGGUGGUGGAGGUGAUUGGUAACCAGGUGGUGGAAUUUGGUUAGUGGGUGAUGGUGCCUGGUAAUUUAGGGUAGGCUGAUAUGUGAGUGGAGCUGAGGGAUAGAUCUGGUAUUUCAUGGGGGAGAUGUUUCUUUGCGCAGCCAUUACAGAAUGUACAUCCUUUUUCUUAGACGAGCCACCAGACUAUAAAGCCUUAUUGGUAGCUUGUAAUGCUUCGAGGUUUGUGACCAUACCAUUUUUGAUGCCUUCUUCGAUACUUUCUCCCAACUUGAUGAUGUCAGAGAACUUUUGGCCCUCUAUUAGCAUCAGCCUCUUAAUACUAUGGAUACUGAGCAAGAAUAAGGAACCUCCUCAUUGGUUCUUGUUCCAAGGCUGGCCUAACCUUAGCAGCUUCGGACCUCCAAUGAGUAGUAUACUUGCGAAGGUUUCUAUGGGCGUCUUCUUGAGAUUCUGGAUAUAGAACAUAUUUGGUGCGUUCUCAGUGUUGAACCUAAACCGAUCCAUAAAAUCUGACGCCGUUUUUACCCAAUUGGUCCAUUUCUUCGCAUCCUACCUAAUCUACCAGGAUAAAGUAUCACCCUUCAAGCUCUUCAUGAAUAGCUUCAUGUAGAUCUUCUUGUCCCUUCUGACUCCUACUAAAUACAUUCUCAAGUGGACCCUGGGGUCACCUGUGCCAUCGAACAUUUCAAACUUGGGAGGUUUUUACCCCUCCAGGAGCUCAACAUCUGGUUGAACAUAGAGAUCUUCGUAAUUCAAACCCCUCAACACCUUUGUUACCUUUGAAACCUUGGACCCGGCUAUUAGACUUCUUGAUCUUAGUGGCCAAAUUCUGAAUGAGGGAAGUUUUAUCCUCUGCCUCGACCGCACUGGUGAUAGGCUGACCAUAAUGCGGCAUAGUGUCCACUAUCUCAGUGGCCAAAUCCUGAAUGAGAGAGCUCUUUCCAUCUGACUCGACUGCACUGGCGAAUGGCUGGCUGUAAUGUGGCAUAAUGUCCACAAAGAUUGGACUGUUAUGGUCUUUUGUGGUGUUUUGUGGUGCAGUGGAGUGUUGUGAGUGGGUUGCAUUGGAGGUUGUGGAAUAUUUUGUGGUAGUGCGGGGUUCUGGGUGUUAACAUCAGGAGAGGAAAUAGUGAUUGACAGUCUUGCUAGGUUUCUAACUAUGUCCAAUUCCUCUCGGAAUCUCAACAAAGUUUGUUCCAGAUGAGCAGCAGUCUCUUUGGUGAUUGCAGCAUUCUGAGAAGUUUCUUCUAGUUCCUUUCUAGCGCUUGCAUCUCCCAUUUUGCUUUUGUUCUUGUUUCUGGUAGGACUAAGAGGAAGAGGAGGUGGAGGAACCUUGGAUCUUGCGGAGCACGCUGAUGGUGCCAGAAUGCACGAACUAAUCUUUGUGGAGGGGAAUAAAAAUAAAAGAAAAACAAAAAGGUAAAAACUUAGUGCGGAUUCUGAUAAUUAAUAUUGCAAUAUUUAAACACGUUGUGCGAGAAUAUAAAUCGCUUCCUAAUUUGGGUGCCUCGUUGUGCCCGAGGUAGGCCUAGCGACGAAUAAAAUUUGGAGAACUUGUAAAGCCAAAUGCCUCAUUUUGUUGAUGAAAAAAAAUGAGUCUAAAACAACUAAAUGAUAAAGACGUUACUAACGGCCAGAGGCCUAAUUACAUUUAGGAAGAACAAGUCUAAAACAACUAAAUGACAAAAGAUGUCAUUAAUGGCUAGUGUCCUUAUUAUAUUAAAGUAGAAGGUAAAAAUCCUAACUAAUUGGUCCCAGAAAGACCUUUCCCAGAUUCGGUAUUCUUGCCUGCAUCGUAUAGCUGCAUCAACUCGCGUAUCCCUAACAGUAGGUAGGCUCGAGCUAGACGCCCGCCCGCGCUUCCCUCAGAAUUUUGACAGUCUUCAAUACUUUUUAAGAACUUCCCUUCCAACUCCACUAGACCUUGCUCCAGAUACCCCAAGCGGUUGUUGGCGUUGACAGCCAUAUCAUUCCACUCGUUGAUUAGCUUCUCGUGGGCUUCCUGUAUUUCCCGAUGUUUGUUCUCACAUUCUCUCAUCCUCUUGAGCCGUUGAUUGUAUUUGACUUGUGCUUCAGUUUUCUUGUCAAUAAUACUGUGACCGUGGACGAACCCUGGAUGACCCAAACCAAUGUGAUCAUCUUCCAACCAACAUGUGUAGUGCGGCACACACCCGACAUGAUACCUUUCUGGCUCAAUAGAAUCCUUCCCUUGAAUUAGCUUGAAGUGCCACAUAUGCUAAGUGUGACACCUGUGUGGGCUAUCAUCAUUUUGAAAGUCACCCCUAAAAUGACUCAUUUUCUCUAGUCCUAUUUUCUAUGUGGUAGUUGUGGGGUACGGCGUCUAUGAAUGGUGACGAGUAUCUAUACGUUGGUGACUAGCAUGCUCGUGAGUCUUUAUAUUGUGAUUAUCAUGACUUCGUUUAUCUUUCAUGCCUUGGUGGUGGUUUCUAUUUGUUGUAUAAAUUUUGUGGAAGGAAUUGUGACCUAUAACAUUGAGGAGAGUUGGAUCAAGUUGUAUAACAAAUUAUUAGAGUAUAAGUGAUAACUGAAUCUAGAGUUGUGCACGGAUCGGAUCAGAUCGGGUUUAACACAUUUCAGAUUCGAAUUUCAGAUUUCGAAUUCUAAAAAUAUAAUCUGAAUCCGAUCCGAAUUAUAUCGGUGGGAUUGGAUUUAAAAGUUUGGAUCGGAUCAGAUCGGAUUUCGAAUAGUAUCCUUAUGCCUUAAUGUUAAACUGAUAUGUAUAUUUUCUUUGUAAAAGAAGCAAUACAUUAAUAAAUAUUUAUGUUUAUGCAAUUAUGAGAGUACUAUGGUCUCAAUAUAGCUAAAUUUAGCAAUUGUAAAUGUAAUAACUUGGAGGUUGAUGUAUAGGAAGUACUGACUAUUCGAAUUAAAGUGUAGUAUUUUAUACAUGCCCUAAUAAGUUUGGAUUUCGGAUCGGAUCGUAGUGGAUUAAAAUAUACCAAUCUUAAUCCGAUUUGAAAUCCAAAAUUUUAAAAGAUACAAUCCGAAAUCAGAUCCAAUCCUAAAUCCAAAACUGAAUGGAUCGGUUCGGAUUUUGGAUAUCUGAUCUGAAUGAACAUCCCUAAUUGAACCUCUAGAGCAUUGGCUCGAGUUGUGAAAUUAAUUGUGAAGAAAAAGUGAGAAAAAGAAGAGAUCAUUCUGUUGCCACCCUUGCCGGGUUAUUGUUGUUUUAUAUGUUAUCUCUCUUCACGGGAUGUUGAUAUCAUUAAUGUUGUUCCCUUAUUGGGACUAAAUUAUUAUAUUGUUGUUCUCUUGCCGGGAUUCUUAUUAUGAUUUCAUUUAUUCCCUUGCCCUAUUGUUUGUGAUUGUUUUUUGGUGAGGAAGAGACUAAAAACACGAAGGGUGAUAUCGUGCCUUAUUUUUGUAAGAAACGAGUAUAAAGCACGACGGAUGACAUCGUAUUGUGCGGAAAGAGUGUAACGCACAAAGGGUAAUGUCGUGCCGCACGAUGUACCAUUUUGUUCCGAUUAUAUUGAUUAUAUGGUGAGAAAAAAGAGUAAAGGCACAAAGGGUGAUGUCGUGUACAUUUUUAUUAUAUGAUUUCUUGGUGAGGACAAGAAUAAAAGCACGAAGGGUAAUGUCAUGCAUUUAUUGAUUUAUGAUUCUUUGUUAAUAUCCAAGUUAUAUUGUUUCUUUCGUUUGCUUGAAGUCUUUCUAUUCGGAAUUGAUAUUUCCUUCGCAGCAUGCUCCCCUUCCCAUAUUUGACUAUUUAUUUCUAUACUUCUUUUCCGCUGUAUAUAUUGAAUUACACAGGUUAUUUGGUAGUCUGGUCCUAGCCUCGUCACUACUUUGCCG